rnacentral:lncRNA from 1 species
UUUAGACCAGUCUUAGAUUUACUGAAUGCAGAAGUACUAGAGAUACUAAAGUGGAUCAACCUGUCAACUAUGUUUGCACUUGCUAAGAGUGUUUGAAGGAACCAAAGCUGACCUCCAACCUAAUUUGACUUGAUUUGCUUGUCUUGGGGCUUGGUAUACAAGGGAUCGGAAUCCUCCUACAAGUCUGAAAGGUAAACGCUCAUAUGUGUUGCUGGUUCCCUUCUUUCUCUCUCUUCGGCAUCUCAAAGAUCAAAAUUAUAAAGAAAAGAUUGAGAUGAUUUCCUGGAAGAGGCAGAAUGGUAGGAGUGUCUCCUGUGACCCCAUUAUUCUAAGUCUGAAGGGAAUGAUCACACAUUGUGGAAACGAGGGGUAGGAGUGUCUCCUAUGACCCCAUUAUUCGCUACACUUUGUCAAAAAAAAAAAAAAGAGCAUCAUGUCAAUAAGAUGAACUAGAUGUCUAAUCAACAUCGAAAUUCAUUGGGAUUGAAACUAAUAAAGAGAUUCAGAGAAGAGAGUAGGGGGAAGAAAGGAACCAAAUGAAACUACAUACUUGCUUGAGUUUAGUCCAUGUGUUCCUUGAUCGAUACUCCCAAGGUAAAGCAUGCACUUUUAUUUUAUGCAAGAAAUGAGGUUAGUAGAGGGG